CUUAUUUUGCAUACUUAGGCAUCUAGGAUCUUUUUACAUACAUAUAU
rnacentral:sRNA from 1 species